rnacentral:rRNA from 1 species
UACGUAGGUCCCGAGCGUUGUCCGGAUUUAUUGGGCGUAAAGCGAGCGCAGGUGGUUUAUUAAGUCUGGUGUAAAAGGCAGUGGCUCAACCAUUGUAUGCAUUGGAAACUGGUAGACUUGAGUGCAGGAGAGGAAAGUGGAAUUCCAUGUGUAGCGGUGAAAUGCGUAGAUAUAUGGAGGAACACCGGUGGCGAAAGCGGCUCUCUGGCCUGUAACUGACACUGAGGCUCGAAAGCGUGAGGAGCAAACAGG